AAGUCGUAACAAGGUUUCCGUAGGUGAACCUGCGGAAGGAUCAUUACAGAGUUCAUGCCCUCACGGGUAGAUCUCCCACCCUUGUAUAUCUAUCGAUGUUGCUUUAGCGGGCCACAGGCUCUGCCCGUACCGGCUCCGGCCGGGCGUGCCCGCUAGAGGACCCCAAACUCUGAAUGUUAGUGUCGUCUGAGUACUAUAAAAUAGUUAAAACUUUCAACAACGGAUCUCUUGGUUCUG
rnacentral:misc_RNA from 1 species